rnacentral:rRNA from 1 species
GAUGAACGCUGGCGGCGUGCCUAAUACAUGCAAGUCGAGCGAACAGACGAGGAGCUUGCUCCUCUGACGUUAGCGGCGGACGGGUGAGUAACACGUGGAUAACCUACCUAUAAGACUUGGAUAACUUCGGGAAACCGGAGCUAAUACCGGAUAAUAUAUUGAACCGCAUGGUUCAAUAGUGAAAGACGGUUUUGCUGUCACUUAUAGAUGGAUCCGCGCCGCAUUAGCUAGUUGGUAAGGUAACGGCUUACCAAGGCGACGAUGCGUAGCCGACCUGAGAGGGUGAUCAGCCACACUGGAACUGAGACACGGUCCAGACUCCUACGGGAGGCAGCAGUAGAGAAUCUUCCGCAAUGGGCGAAAGCCUGACGGAGCAACGCCGCGUGAGUGAUGAAGGUCUUCGGAUCGUAAAACUCUGUUAUUAGGGAAGAACAAAUGUGUAAGUAACUAUGCACGUCUUGACGGUACCUAAUCAGAAAGCCACGGCUAACUACGUG